AUGGAUACCAAGAGGAGACGGCCCGAACGCGAUCGCCUCAGCGACCUCCCCGACGACAUCAUCGGCCACGUCCUCUCCUUCCUCCCAUCCCAAGAGGCCGCCCGCGCCGCCAUCCUCUCCCGCCGCUGGCGCGGCGCCUUUGCCAACGUCCACACCAUCUCCUUCCAGCAGGCGCCGAGCGACCACGAAUCCUCCGACGACGAUUCGGACGGUGACGAUGAUGUCCCCCGCAGCCCGAACAGGCGGCUCGUCGACUGGAUCAACAACGCGCUGUUGAUCCGGAGACGCUGCGGCGGCAGGGACGCACAGCUGCGCAGCCUCUGCGUGGAGAUGUGCCGGUACGAUCCGCGGGACUCUUGCUCGGUGCACGACUGGGUCACCUACGCCCUUGGCCAUGGCGUCGAGGAGCUCCAACUCGAACUUCGCAGGCGCGGGGACCGCAGCCACAUCUGCCAAAGCGAUAAUUCGUCAGACUCUUCAGAUUGUGAAUCAGACUAUUCAGAUUCUUCAUCAGGCUUUUAUGAUUCAUCAGAAUCAGAUUCGGCCGACAGCAGCAGCGUCAGCGGCUACGAAUCAUCUGACGAUGGUGCCAACGUCGGCGGCGAUCGUGCUUUUCCGGCAAGGCUCUAUGCGUGCGCUAGCCUGCGAGCACUGCACCUCUCCUCCUGCUGGACGCUCGAACUGCCAUCCACCGUCCAUCUCCCGUCCCUGGAGACACUGGCUCUCAGCAACAUCAGUUACGCGAGUUCUGGGGGAGACAUCCAGCGGCUGAUCUCCGGCUGCCCGCGCCUCGCCGACCUGACGCUCGAAGCCUGCGACAGGAUCACCAACAUCACCAUGCCGCCAGAAACGCGCCUCCGGAGCUUCGCCUUGCGCUGCUGCCAACGCUUCCGUGGCAUCACCCUGGACUUGUCGGAGACACGAGAGUUCGAGUACAGAGGCCGGCAGCCCGACGCUUCUCAGUUCACGCUCGUCGGCGGCGCGCCAACAAGAAUUGUUUCAGCCAAGAUUCACGUAUGCGGCAGGAGGAUCGACCUUGAGAGGCUCCGAGAGUUCCUUCUCCUGUUUGCGAACGCCGCGCACCUCCAACUCGGAUGGCCCGACAAGCAGUCCCGAUCCGACUACGAUGAUUUCUUCGCUCAGUUCCCUCUGUUCCACAACGUCACGAGGCUCGAGCUGGCAAGCCGUUGCAAGCAUCAGGGUGUCGUCCUCACGGUGGCCGGGAUCCUGCAGCAGACGCCAAACCUGACCGUUCUGUCGCUCAACCUCGGCGACGACAGGAACAGAGUCCUCCUGGAUGACCAGGACGUCGCUGUGGAUGUGCCGAAGGUGCCGGUGCCGUGCUUGGGGGAGAGGCUGAGGGAGGUGAGCGUGGAGCAGUACGAGGGGGCCAACGUGCAGAGGAAGCUGCUCCAUUGGUUGCUUACCGGCGCGCUGGUCGUCGAGUCUGUACGCGUCGUGUUUGCCAAGGGGGGAUACUCGGUGCUCGAUGAGUUGACGACCGAAAUCAAACAUUGGGCCGCGAAUCCGGCUGCCAUAGUUUCAUUUUUGUGA
rnacentral:rRNA from 1 species